GGCGCUGUGGCUCAAGUGGUAGAGCGCUAGCCUUGAAAGCUGAAGAGCUGAGGGACAGCGCCC
rnacentral:tRNA from 1 species